rnacentral:rRNA from 1 species
AUUGAACGCUGGCGGCAUGCUUUACACAUGCAAGUCGAACGGUAACAGGUCUUCGGAUGCUGACGAGUGGCGAACGGGUGAGUAAUGCAUCGGAACGUGCCCAGUCGUGGGGGAUAACGCAGCGAAAGCUGCGCUAAUACCGCAUACGAUCUAUGGAUGAAAGCGGGGGACUCGCAAGAGCCUCGCGCGAUUGGAGCGGCCGAUGUCAGAUUAGGUAGUUGGUGGGGUAAAGGCUCACCAAGCCAACGAUCUGAAGCUGGUCUGAGAGGACGACCAGCCACACUGGGACUGAGACACGGCCCAGACUCCUACGGGAGGCAGCAGUGGGGAAUUUUGGACAAUGGGCGGAAAGCCUGAUCCAGCAAUGCCGCGUGCAGGAAGAAGGCCUC